CCUACGGGGGGCAGCAGUGAGGAAUUUUGCGCAAUGGGGGAAACCCUGACGCAGCAACGCCGCGUGAGUGAUGAAGGCCUUCGGGUCGUAAAGCUCUGUCAGGUGGGAAGAAAUAAGUCUGGUUAAUAGCCAGAUUUUUUGACGGUACCACCGAAGGAAGCAUCGGCCAACUCCGUGCCAGCAGCCGCGGUAAUACGGAGGAGGCAAGCGUUGUUCGGAAUUAUUGGGGGUGGAUAGCGUGUAGGCAGUUGAAAUCCCUAGGCUUAACCUAGGAAUUGCAUUUGAAACUGGUUAGCUAGAGUACGGGAGAGGAAGGUGGAAUUCCUGGUGUAGAGGUGAAAUUCGUAGAUAUCGGGAAGAACACCGGUGGCGAAGGCGGCCUUCUGGCCCGAUACUGACGCUGAUACGCGAAAGCGUGGGGAGCAAACAGGAUUAGAUACCCCUGUAGUC
rnacentral:rRNA from 1 species